GGAUCCUUGAGUCUGCAGGCCAACACUCUGUCCACUGAGCCAAACUGGCUCGGCUGGGCUCAUAUUGUGUAAAUCAAAACUAAUUCUUAGGUAGUGCACUUUCUUCCACCAUGAAUGAAGCAUAGGAUGUUUGGCUGUCUCUCAUUUAUUGCUGUUAGCAGCUGAUAAUAAUCAAAGCCUAUGUCUAUUAAAUCAUUUGAAGCUGCAGAAUGGUGAUACUCUAAUUUUAUCAGUUAUUUUCUAACUUGCCAGCUGGAAUACUGAAAAAAAAAAAACUUCCUCAAAAUAAUGUUUGCUUACCCAUUGGCAAAGGAGAUCAAAGAGAAAAGAAGAUAAAAGCUUGGUUCUCUUUAAUCAUUCGUUUUUUCUUUUUUAAAUAGUGAGUUGAUGCAAAGCAACCUGCAAUGGUAGAAACAACAGAAUUCAAGGGAAUGUUUCCAAAUAAAAGAUUGCACUUUGCAGGCAUUCCAAGUGAGAAACAAGGCUCUGUCACCCUUAAUAUACUACUUACUUAUUGGCAAACCUUCCAAUUGAAUCAAUCUUCACUGUUGCUACCACCCCUGUCCAUGAAGAUCCCCUCCCUCGGCUUGGACUUGGACAUCACAAAGCCAUCCUGCAUAUGAAUGGACACCCCCUGACCCACCUCGGCGCUGACAUCCUAUACCCGGAAUCCCCUUCUCAGUGCAUGGACUCUUUCUUCUCAGUUGUGCUCCGAAACCUAACCCCAGUCCACUGCAGCCCCAGCCAGAACUGUUCUGACACAGACAUGUGAGUUGUCCUGCUUCACUAUGGCUUCAGGGGGGGAGUGUUUGAGAAGGGAAGGGAAAGUGAGGGUGCUAGCUUUAUUUCCUAUUGCUAUAAGUAGAACUAUGCAUUCCUAGUCUGUUUUUCAAGGUAACCAUGUUUAGUCCACGUGUGUGUGUGUGUGAUAUCUGCAUGGAACAGCUUGGAGACACUGAGGAAUGAUUAUGCUCAGCCAACAAGGUCCAUUUUUCUCCAACAAAACACAGACCAUGGACCCUGCCUCGGUACAGGAGAAGCCGAUUUCAUCUGAGCUUCUGGCAUGUGUCCAACAGAGGAAGGCUUCUUCAGCCCUGGAGCCAUCCCAGAAGACAGGACAGGCUCCUUCUCCGGGAGCGGGUAGCACCCAGGCAAAUCCAGCAUGAGAAUGCAUUUCUGCAAAAUCCCAAAAUGACAACACUGCAUAAUUACAGCAAUGGGAUAUUUGAACUGAUCCUUGAAACAUCAAUGUUUCCAAUAAAGAAAGUGUGAUGUUAAGUGAACCAGCGUUUGAAAGGAGCACUUCAGGUAAAGGGAAGAGCAUGGCUGUAUAGCAUCUCGUAUCGUUCAGGUAACGGCAGGUGUCCACUUCAACUAAACGCGGGCAAACCAUCCCCCCAGCUCUCUGAAAUGGAAGUGUCAGUGCAUAAUAUAUACCAAGAAGCCAUUUUUCAUCAAGGAAUAUCUUUUUGUUUUGUUUUUUAACUUGAUGCUUCACCAUGCACAUUAAUAACACAUGGGAAGAAACACACAUUGAAAUAUGGAAGGCAAAUAAGGAACACUGAUGGAUGAGGAACACAAAUUUAUAUAUUGUUUGACUGAUGGAUUGCAAAUUAUAAAGUAAAUGAAGUAAAAUGUUAUCUAUAACUGAGAUCGAGUCUGAGUACUUGGAGGCACUUUGAAAUGUUUUUAUUUUUGCAUCUAUUCAAUAUAUUUGACAUUAUUUCCAAAGCAAAAGUAAAAUCAACAACAGCAAAACAAAAACAAACACUAAAACAAAAGCCUGGAACACUGUCAGGGCUGCAUGGGGCUGUCCUGUCGUAUGAGAAGAUAAAAUCUAGUAGGAUACGCUGAGCCAGGGUGGGAAUCAGUGUGAACUGU